AUGUCCACGGGCGCUAGAGGCGGAGGCGGCCGGCGCGGCGGCCGCGGUGGCGACCAGCAGGGUGAGGGAGGACGCGGUCGAGGCCGGGGAAGAGGCGGGGAGCAGCAGGAUGCCCACCGUGGCCGCGGAGGCGGUCGAGGCCAGGGCGGCGGCGCCGACGCCGGGGUCCAGCGCGGUGGCCAUCGCGACGCCGGGCGAGGCCACUUGGGCGCUCAUCGAGGCGGGCUAGGCCGAGGCGGCUUGGAGGUGGGGGCGGUGGAGCGUCCCGGGGGCUCGGGGCGUGUCCGGCCACCGGCGACGGCCACGGUUCCGGGUCCGGCGGAGGUGGAGGCGCUGAGCGGGGAGAUGGAGAGGAGGUUGGCGGUGUCGGAGGCGGUCCAGGGGUCUUCGUCCUCGGCGCCGGCGGCGGCCGCCACGGGAGCCCAGGAGUCGCAGGUGGCCGUGGUCGUGCCGCCUCGGAAUCUGCCUCCGGCGUCGAGCAAGUCGACGGAGUUCCCUGCACGGCCGGGGUACGGGACGGCCGGCAAGAGGUGCCGGGUGCGCGCCAACCAUCUCCUCGUGCAGGUCGCCGACAAGGAGAUCUACCACUACGAUGUAUCAAUCAGUCCUGAAUCGAUGGCCCGUGAGAGGAACAGAUCUAUAAUUAAUGAACUUGUUAGAAUGCAUAAACAACAUUUGGAUGGGAGAUUGCCUACUUAUGAUGGAAGAAAGGGAAUGUUUACUGCAGCUCCACUGCCAUUUAAAACCAAAGAAUUUAUUGUCAAAGUAUCAAAUCCCGAGAGAGGGUACCAGGGGGAAAAGGAGUAUAAGGUCACCAUAAAGGAAGUUGCAAAACUAAAUCUGUACAAUCUUCAGCAAUUCUUGGCUGGUAGGCAGAGAGAACUGCCGCAGGACACUAUCCAGGCUCUUGAUAUUGCUCUGAGGGAAACCCCCACUGCAAAGUAUACACCCAUCUCAAGAUCAUUUUUCUCAAAAUCAUUUGGACAUGGUGGUGACAUUGGCAGCGGGGUGGAAUGCUGGCGAGGGUAUUAUCAGAGCCUGCGCCCCACACAGAUGGGAUUGUCACUAAAUAUUGGUAUAGUAACAUACUGGUUUCUACCUAUAAUAACUUACUGCACAAGAUGUUGUUCUUCUCUUCAUGACAGAAAUAUUUCUGCAACAGCAUUUUACAAAGCUCAACCAGUUAUGGAUUUUGCACUGGAAUAUCUUAACAUCCGGGGUGAUGCUCCAAGGCGUUUGUUUGACCAGGAUCGCCUGAAAUGGCCAUGCCUUCAAGCUGGCAGUGAUAGCAGGCCAACAUAUUUGCCUAUGGAGGUUUGCAACAUACUUGGAGGACAACGCUAUUCGAGAAAGCUAAAUGAGCGUCAAGUCACAAACAUAUUGAGGUUGGCAUGUGAGCGGCCAGAUAAAAGGGAGGGUAGUAUCGUGGAGGUUAUUAAUAGAAACAACUAUGGCAUUGAUGAUAAUGCAAAAGAAUUUCGAAUUAAGGUGAUGAACCAACUAGCAUUGGUCGAUGCUCGUGUGCUGCCUCCUCCAAGGCUUAAAUACCAUCAGUCUGGACGAGAACAAAUAUGUAAUCCGUCGGUAGGACAGUGGAACAUGAAUAACAAGAGAAUGGUAAAUGGAGGGUCCAUCAGGCACUGGGCCUGUGUUUCAUUUGGCUCUCGGUUGCAAUGGAAUGAUGUUAGCGUGUUCUGCAACUAUUUGGUUGGCACGUGCAAUAACAUGGGCAUGCAAGUAAGUGAGACACCGUGUGUGGACAUUGUUCAGGCACGCCAGGUAUUACCUGAUGGACCUAAUGCAAGUGAUUGUUAUGGAAGAGUAAAGCGGCUUUGCGAAAUUGAGCUUGGUUUAAUAACUCAGUGCUGUUUACCUAAGCAUGUUCAAAGAGCUGGCGCACAGUAUCUACAAAAUAUGGCCCUUAAGAUCAAUGUUAAGGUUGGUGGUCGGAACACCGUACUGGAAAAUGCAUUGCUUCGGAGGAUCCCUCUGUUGACAGAUAAGCCUACAAUUAUAUUUGGAGCAGAUGUGACACACCCAUCUCCUGGGGAGGAUAUGUCUCCAUCUAUUGCAGCGGUUGUUGCGUCGAUGGAUUGGCCUGAAGUGUCUAAGUACACAUGCUUGGUGUCUUCACAAGGUCAUAGGGAAGAAAUCAUUGCUGACCUUUUCACAGAAGUGAAAGAUCCACAGAAGGGGGUUAUGUAUGGUGGAAUGAUAAGAGAAUUGCUUGUGUCCUUCUAUAAAGCAAACAACUCUCGGAAACCUGGAAGGAUUAUAUUUUAUCGAGAUGGUGUUAGCGAAGGCCAAUUUAGCCAGGUCUUGCUUUAUGAAAUGGAUGCAAUAUACAGGGCUUGUUCUAGCUUAGAGAACGGAACGGUUGUUGAUACAAAUAUAUGCCAUCCCAGUGAAUUUGACUUUUACCUCUGCAGUCAUGCCGGCAUUCAGCUAAUUUUCUGUUCCAUUUGUUCCAACUUAACAGUUCCUCCAGCAUACUAUGCGCACGUGGCGGCUUUCCGGGCGCGGCACUACCUGGAUGACAAUCACUCUGAUCAGGGAUCAUCUUCUGUGGGCGGCACCAGAAGGUUUGAUCAAGCUGUCCCGGGAGGUUUAAACCUCCGGCGAUGCACAUUCUUGUUGAUUAUUCUGACUUGCGCCGACCGUGCCCGCCGCAAACGACCACCGAGCGCCUGUCAUCAUCACCACCUGGAUCCGCUCCACCGCAGUUCCGACUUCAAAGCAGCGAGGCAACCCACGAAAGAGCACCUCGGACACGCCGGGAAGAUCCGACUACCAAAGCCCGAGCCGCGACCCAAGCUCCUCUCGUCGCCAUCAUCGUUGCCAAACAGAAAUCAGCGCCACCAAACGGCCGCCUCAGCAACCACGCGGCGAAGAUGCCGCCAUCCACCGCGGCGAAGAUGCCGCCUUCCACCGGUCUCCAGUUGUAGCCGGCUCCGAGACGAUGCCCCCAAGGAGGAAGAAGACGAGGAGACGCCUUCAUCGCCCGAUCCCGCGGAUCUGAGGAUUCCCUCCGGAGCCAAGGCCGCGGGGAGAAGCACCACACCAAAACGACGCUUCCAAGAAAGAGUGCGGCGCCCGCGGGCGUCGCCGUCGCCGGAUCCGGCAAAGGCCGGAGAAGGAUUUCUCCCAGCCACCGAAGGGAAUCUCCCGCCAGCGCCCGCGCCCGUCCCAGCUGAGACCGUCCCGCGCGACCCCCCGGCCAGCAGCAGCCGUGCUGCCGGGUACUGGGUGCACACCGCCGUCUCCACCGACCAGCCAACCCCGCCAGAGGAAGGAGGAGCCACGCCCGAAACUCGCCGAGCCGCACCACCUCUCACCGCAGCAGAGACGCCAAACCACAGCAGCUCCGCCGCCGCCCACGCAGCCGACGAGAGCCACCGCCCGCCCGCGGCCGCGCCGCCCAGAGAGCGAAGAGAUCUGGCCGCGAUCGGCUCGAUCCAGCCGCCCCACGCAGCGCCCCGCAACAGCCCCCUCCGCACCCGCAAGCCGAGCAUCACCCCCGCCGCCAGAGCAUCACCGGAGAUAGGCGAGGCGGCCGCGCAGUCCACCGCCAGGCACCACGGCGCCGAGCGCCAUCCGCCGCCGCUCCCCCAGGACUGGACGCCGCGCGACGGGAUGAGGCCCCGCCGCCGCCACCCCCGCACGGGCUUUGCCCGGCGGUGGCCACCGGCGGCGGCGAGGGAGGAUGAGCAGGUGGGGGGAGUGGGAGGCGGCGGGGAUCUGGUCGCCGCCCGAGUCGCCAAGCUAGGCGACGCGGGGGCCUGUAGUUAA
rnacentral:rRNA from 1 species